rnacentral:tRNA from 1 species
GCCCCUUUAGCUCAAUUGGAUAGAGCGUCUGGCUUCGGACCAGAAGGUUGGAGGUUCGAAUCCUUUAGGGGGCA